CUACGGGGGGCACCAGGCGAGAAAACUUUGCAAUGUGCGAAAGCACGACAAGGUUAAUCCGAGUGGUUUGUGCUAAACGAACCUUUUGACAGUCCUAGAAACACUGUUGAAUAAGGGGUGGGCAAGUUCUGGUGUCAGCCGCCGCGGUAAAACCAGCACCUCAAGUGGUCAGGAUGAUUAUUGGGCCUAAAGCAUCCGUAGCCGGCUCUGUUAGUUUUCGGUUAAAUCUGUACGCUCAACGUACAGGUUGCCGGGAAUACUGCAGAGCUGGGGAGUGGGAGAGGUAGACGGUACUCGGUAGGAAGGGGUAAAAUCCUUUGAUCUAUUGAUGACCACCUGUGGCGAAGGCGGUCUACCAGAACACGUCCGACGGUGAGGGAUGAAAGCUGGGGGAGCAAACCGGAUUAGAUACCCGAGUAGUC
rnacentral:rRNA from 1 species